GACGAACGCUGGCGGCGUGCUUAACACAUGCAAGUCGAACGGAAAGGCCCUGCUUGCAGGGUACUCGAGUGGCGAACGGGUGAGUAACACGUGGGUGAUCUGCCCUGCACUUCGGGAUAAGCCUGGGAAACUGGGUCUAAUACCGGAUAGGAGCCAUUUUUAGUGUGAUGGUUGGAAAGUUUUUUCGGUGUAGGAUGAGCUCGCGGCCUAUCAGCUUGUUGGUGGGGUAAUGGCCUACCAAGGCGGCGGCGGGUAGCCGGCCUGAGAGGGUGGACGGCCACAUUGGGACUGAGAUACGGCCGAGGCUCCGACGGGAGGCAGCAGGGGGGAAGAUUGCACAAUGGGCGCAAGCCUGAUGCAGCGACGCCGCGGGGGGGAUGACGGCCUUCGGGUUGUAAACUCCUUUCGCUAGGGACGAAGCUUUUUGUGACGGUACCUAGAUAAGAAGCACCGGCUAACUACGUG
rnacentral:rRNA from 1 species